GAUGAACGCUGGCGGCGUGCCUAAUACAUGCAAGUCGAGCGAACGGACGAGAAGCUUGCUUCUCUGAUGUUAGCGGCGGACGGGUGAGUAACACGUGGAUAACCUACCUAUAAGACUGGGAUAACUUCGGGAAACCGGAGCUAAUACCGGAUAAUAUUUUGAACCGCAUGGUUCAAAAGUGAAAGACGGUCUUGCUGUCACUUAUAGAUGGAUCCGCGCUGCAUUAGCUAGUUGGUAAGGUAACGGCUUACCAAGGCAACGAUGCAUAGCCGACCUGAGAGAGUGAUCGGCCACACUGGAACUGAAACACGGUCCAGGCGACUAAGGGAGGCAGCAGUAGGGAAUCUGCCGCAAUGGGCGAAAGCCUGACGGAGCAACGCCGCGUGAGUGAUGAAGGUCUUCGGAGCGUAAUACUCUGUUAUUAGGGAAGAACAUAUGUGUAAGUAACUGUGCACAUCUUGACGGUACCUAAUCAGAAAGCCACGGCUAACUACGUG
rnacentral:rRNA from 1 species